UGGGGGAAUUUUGGACAAUGGGCGAAAGCCUGAUCCAGCAAUGCCGCGUGUGUGAAGAAGGCCUUCGGGUUGUAAAGCACUUUUGUCCGGAAAGAAAUCCUUGGCUCUAAUACAGUCGGGGGAUGACGGUACCGGAAGAAUAAGCACCGGCUAACUACGUGCCAGCAGCCGCGGUAAUACGUAGGGUGCAAGCGUUAAUCGGAAUUACUGGGCGUAAAGCGUGCGCGGGCGGUUUGCUAAGACCGAUGUGAAAUCCCCGGGCUCAACCUGGGAACUGCAUUGGUGACUGGCAGGCUAGAGUAUGGCAGAGGGGGGUAGAAUUCCACGUGUAGCAGUGAAAUGCGUAGAGAUGUGGAGGAAUACCGAUGGCGAAGGCAGCCCCCUGGGCCAAUACUGACGCUCAUGCACGAAAAGCGUGGGGAGCAAAACAGGAUUAGAUACCCUGGUAGUCCACGCCCUAAAACGAUGUCAACUAGUUGUUGGGGAUUCAUUUUCCUUAGUAACGUAGCUAACGCGUGAAGUUGACCGCCUGGGGAGU
rnacentral:rRNA from 1 species